rnacentral:piRNA from 1 species
UACCUGGCAUUGAGCAUCACUCCAGU